rnacentral:lncRNA from 1 species
AUCCUCUUACAUAUCACUUGUGGGUGAAAGAUAUGCAUUUCCACUCUGUAUGAAAAACAACAACAAAUCUAAUAACUCAUAUUGUAGCAUGAACCAAUACGAAUCCUUUGUAAUCAGCCAAUGGAAUGUCCAGGGAUUAAGAUCAUCUGCCUUUGGACUGAAAAGUAACAACUCUGAGUUCAUUGAUGAGCUCAAAGACUCCGACAUCAUCAUUCUAAUGGAGACGUGGGAUAGGGGAGACUUACCGACUGGCUGCCCUCCAGGCUAUGGGGAGUUAACAGUUAACUCAAUAAAGCUCCCUGGAGUGACACAGGGGAGGAGCUCAGGGGGAAUACUCAUAUGGUAUAAAGCCAAAUAUACAAACUCUAUUGAACUAGUUAAAGAAGGUGAUAAUUAUGUAUGGCUUAAGUUAAAAAAAGACCUGACCUCUAAUACCCAAAACAUAUUCAUUUGUGCAAUCUACAUCCCUCCAGCUGAAUCUCCCUACUUUAAGGAUCAAACCUUUUCUGACUUAGAGGGAGACAUCACCCACUUCCAAACCCAGGGAAAUAUCCUAAUCGUUGGUGAUCUGAAUGCCCGCACAGCUGAAGAAUCAGACACUACUAGCACAAACGGAGACAAAUACAUGAAUAACAAAACUAACACCAGCCUAACUCUUCCCGUAAGGAAUAAUUACGACAAAAUAACAAAUAGAAAUGGGAAAGAACUGCUGCAGCUCUGCCGAUCCCUCAGUCUAUACAUAGCCAAUGGUCGAAUAAGAGGGGACUCCUUUGGCCGCUACACCUACAGUUCCUCUCUUGGCAGUAGCACAGUAGAUUAUGCAAUUACAGAUUUGGACCCAUUCUCUCUCAGAGCAUUCACAGUGAAGCAACAAACCCCCUUUUCAGACCAUAAUCAGAUCAAAAUUUACCUUAAAAGACCCCACUCUAAACAACCAUGCCCCAACUCCAGUAAAUUAUAUAAUAUAACAACUAACUUUAGAUGGAUGCAAAGCAGACUACCUGCAUAUCAAGAGGCUAUGAGCAGCCAUGAAACCCAAGAACACCUAAACUCUUUCCUGGCCCAUGCAUAUCCCAGCAGGAAAGAGGGAGUAAACCUAGCCACAAAGCACAUCACCAAUAUCUUUCAUUAUGUGGCACAACAAUCGAGCUUACCUCUACAUAAACCAAACCCAAA